AUGGAAACUCUUGCUGAGGAGAUUUUGCGGGAGAUCCUGCUGAGUCUGCUGACAAGAGACGACGCUCGCUGCUGCUGUGUCUCGAGGCUCUGGUGCGGCGUGGUCACAGACCCCACCUUCCGAGCCCUUCAUGCUAGGGCCCGGCAUGUCGUCGCCGGCGCCGGCGCGGAGGCCCUGCUCGUUUCCGAGAUCCGCGACCCUGGUAAAAGCCUCGAGGUGAGAGUAUACAACAUCAAUUCGCCUAAGCCCAUGUGCCGCGUCCUCGGCCUGGCCGGCGGAUACAAACCAGCCAAUGCCUGCAAAGGAUUCCUCCUUCUCGCGUCCGGUGUCAAAAAUUGGCCUGUGCUCGUGUCCAACCCCGUCACCGGUGAAAAGCUGGAGGUCCCACCGCCACCGAAGAUCAAUUUCAUCGACGACUACUGGCACAGGUAUGGCAUGGGGUUCAGCCCGGCCGCCCACAAGUACAAGCUGUUCCGGUUUUCCUUCCCGUUUGUGUCCGAGGAGGACAACAACCACCUAGACGUGUACACCUUAGGCGAUGGCCGUGGGUGGCGCCGGCACCCGAUCCUGUUCCCCUAUGCCGCGGUCUACGGCCUCCACUCGCCGCCGCCAGUGUCCAUGGACGGCAAGCUGUACCACCGCCACCGGUCGCCCAACAGGAUACUAGUGAUUGACGUUGCGAGCGAGGCACACUGCACAUACCGCCUCCCCUAUCAGCAUAUGAUGAGUCAGCCCAUGGCGGUGCAUGCCUUGGAGAUGCACGGACGGCUUUGGUCGCCGUGCGUGACCAAAGAGAACUCGAUUUCUGGAUCAUGCGGUCAUUGGGUCCACACCUUCAUGACCAGGACGAUGAUAGACUGCCUCAUUGGGAACUACGGUACAACUUUUACAUCGACGACAUGGACAUUCAUGAGAUAA
rnacentral:rRNA from 1 species